UGUCACUUCCUGGCCACGUGACCUUCAAUUCUGAGCCUAUGCUUCUUUGUAAAAUGUAGAUGACAGUGAUAUCACCAACCUUCUAAGUUUGUGGAAAGAAAAGUCUUCUGUACACCAGGUCACCAAAAUGGAGAUAUUCCAAAUGAGCCAAGCGAAUGUCUACUUACCCUUCAGGAGCUAAACUGCAACACUGCUUGAAUUGAGGAUGAUGAUGACACCAGUAAACAUACUGCCUCUUAAGAUGUUCAUCUCUGACUGCCAAGUCCAAGUCUCUGUCAAACUGACGUACACCACACUUGUACCAGUCCCAGACCAACAGUGACAGAAGGCACAAGUAACUCCAUGGUGCAGCUAUACUUACUAGAGGACCUUGUU